rnacentral:lncRNA from 1 species
CUCUCUCUCUUUCUCUCUCUCUUUCUUUUCACUCUCUCUCUCUCUCCCCCUCUCUUCUUCUCUUGCGGGCAGAGAAGAAACCCACGCGCGCACGCGGUGAUGUCUUACUGGUGAUAAUUGGCCCAGGGGUCGGCGAGUACACCAGCAGACCCGCCGCCAUCGUCUGCCGCGCACACUCUAGGACCUUCUCCGAUUUAUCAGAAUGGGAGAGGAUAUUAAUCCCCUGGCUAUCCCCAUGGCAUGGACGAGUCCAUUGAUUCUGGAGGAGUUCUUACAACUUGGUCAAGGCCAAAAGACAGCCAAUUGCAGAGCCUGGAUUAGAACCCAGUGUUUUGUGAUAAAUCUUUUCCUGGGGAGAGAAAACACACAUCUGCUCGUGCCUGUUAGGGAUCGCAUGGCAGUCCAAAGCAUGGAUACCGCCAAAGUCCAACGUGGUGAACCAGUCUAUCGAUCUGGAGGAAACCAUUAUACAAGACACAGGCCAUCCUGCUGGGAUGUACCAGCGAAGCCCGUGAAGGGGAAAGCCGUGCAGGCCAGGCUUUGCUGCGCAUCAGAGAACGCUGGCGGAUCCGAGGAUCCCCGUUUUGUUGAAAUAGAAUUGUAAAAAUAAAGGGGGGGCAGUUUAAUCCUGUUAAAUGUGGUGCGCGUUUCUGCAGAGCACAGGGAGGACAAGUUGUAGUUUUCAUGUGAAUUUUUGACUUCUUUAUAACACCAGCAGUGUUUUGUUCUUACUGAUCCUGUCAAGUAAAUCUAGGAACACACAUCGCCUUAUCUCGGAGGUUCUGUGGCUUGCGACAGUGAAACUGAAACAAUCAGAAGCAGAGACCACAUUUCCACAGGUUACAGUCCAUCACAGAGGAGAAGCAAAGGCAGGGACUUGCAGCAAGUCACAUCGUAUCAACAGCAGAGAGAAACAACUGGUCUGACGGGAACAGAAAGUUUUGAGGGAGUUCACUGGUGAUGCAAAGUGACUGGCUGGAUAAAGAAGUCCAAAGUUUCUUUUUUCUUUUUUCUUUUUUUUUUUAUCUGUAGAACAAAUAAAGCCAAGCCAAAGGUGACUAAAGGAAGACUGACGACCUUGGGCUGUGGUAGUAGAUGCUGCAAGACCUUGUGAUCCACACUGUGACAUCAUGGGCUCUGAGUAUGAACAUACCUCUCUCUGCUUGAGGACCAGCUCAGCCCCUCAUGUCCCCGAAAUGCUUUGCAAAGACACCGCUCACCCGCCUGUGUCUUCUUUUGAGCUCUGGAGCACUGUUGAUUGAUCAUCCGUGUAAGCCAAUCCUAUACAAGUCCACCCUGUUUAACCAGGUCAAACGCAAAUGCCUUCCGUGUUCUGUCAGAAGAGUGCAUGUGCCCGGAGGGUGAGGAUCAAUGCUUCUCUCGCACCAAUUAAGACCACUCUUUGACUGCUCACAGCAAAUGUUCCCGAACAGUGGAUUUGGAGGAGGGGUUCUGCUUUUCUCAGACCGUGAGAGGCAUGGAUCACAGCAUCUGUAGCUGAGUGGCGUGUUACCGUAGGAAGAGAGAAGCCUCUCUUGAUACUUAUGUGUAGCUUUAGCGUAGAUCUGUCGCGUUAGUCUCACCAGCCAAACUGAUCUCCUCACAUACAGCAUCUCUGCUCCCAACGGUGAGGAGCAGCGAGGCAGGAAGAGCUGCCUAGGCUUGCUGUGGCACGCCUCCCUGGGUGCUCUAUCUUACCUUGUGUCAGCCGUGCUAUAGAUGACCCCUCCUAUGUCUAAGCAGUGUUGAAAAUAUUGUUUUAGUUCAAUAUAUAGCCAUCUCUAACGAAAUCUGUGCUGUUUUAGCAGAAUUAUUAAUAAACAGUUUUCUUUCCGCUCAUCUCUUCAGGGAUCCUUCUGUGUCUAUGCUUCAACCGACCAGU